UACGUAGGGUGCGAGCGUUAAUCGGAAUUACUGGGCGUAAAGGGCUCGUAGGCGGCCAACUAAGUCAGACGUGAAAUCCCUCGGCUUAACCGGGGAACUGCGUCUGAUACUGGAUGGCUAGAGGUUGGGAGAGGGAUGCGGAAUUCCAGGUGUAGCGGUGAAAUGCGUAGAUAUCUGGAGGAACACCGGUGGCGAAGGCGGCAUCCUGGACCAAUUCUGACGCUGAGGAGCGAAAGCCAGGGGAGCAAACGGG
rnacentral:rRNA from 1 species